UACGGGGGGGGCAAGCGUUGUUCGGAAUUAUUGGGCGUAAAGAGCUCGUAGGCGGUCUGUUGCGUCGGCUGUGAAAACCCGGGGCUCAACCCCGGGCCUGCAGCCGAUACGGGCAGACUAGAGUUCGGCAGGGGAGACUGGAAUUCCUGGUGUAGCGGUGAAAUGCGCAGAUAUCAGGAGGAACACCGGUGGCGAAGGCGGGUCUCUGGGCCGAUACUGACGCUGAGGAGCGAAAGCGUGGGGAGCAAACAGG
rnacentral:rRNA from 1 species